rnacentral:rRNA from 1 species
AAUAUUGGGCAAUGGGGGAAACCCUGACCCAGCAAUGCCGCGUGAGGGAAGAAGGUCUUCGGAUUGUAAACCUCUGUCCUGAGGGACGAAGCAAGUGACGGUACCUCGGGAGGAAGCCCCGGCUAACUACGUGCCAGCAGCCGCGGUAAUACGUAGGGGGCAAGCGUUGUCCGGAAUCACUGGGCGUAAAGGGCGCGUAGGCGGCCUAUCAAGUCAGGUGUGAAAUACCUCUGCUUAACGGAGGGGGGUCACUUGAAACUGGUAGGCUUGAGUGCAGGAGAGGAAAGUGGAAUUCCCGGUGUAGCGGUGGAAUGCGUAGAGAUCGGGAGGAACACCAGUGGCGAAGGCGACUUUCUGGACUGUAACUGACGCUGAGGCGCGAAAGCGUGGGGAGCAAACAG